GACGAACACUGGCGGCGUGCCUAACACAUGCAAGUCGAACGGAGAUAUUAAUGAAGCUUGCGAUUUAAUAUCUUAGUGGCGGACGGGUGAGUAACGCGUGGGUAAUCUGCCCAUAAGUGGGGAACAACAGUUGGAAACGACUGCUAAUACCGCAUACCUUGAGCAAUCAAGAAAGGUUGCCUCUGAAUAUGCUGCCGCUUAUGGAUGAGCCCGCGGCUGAUUAGCUAGUUGGUGGGGUAACGGCCUACCAAGGCUGCGAUCAGUAGCCGGCCUGAGAGGGUGAACGGCCACACUGGGACUGAGACACGGCCCAGACUCCUACGGGAGGCAGCAGUGGGGAAUAUUGCGCAAUGGGGGAAACCCUGACGCAGCGACGCCGCGUGAGCGAUGAAGGCCUUAGGGUUGUAAAGCUCUGUUUUAAGGGACGAAUGUUACGGGGAGUAAUAUGCCCUGUAAAUGACGGUACCUUAAGAGGAAGCCCCGGCUAACUACGUGCCAGCAGCCGCGGUAA
rnacentral:rRNA from 1 species